rnacentral:rRNA from 1 species
GAAGCACCCGAAGCCGGUGGAGUAACCAUUUGGAGCUAGCCGUCGAAGGUGGGACAAAUGAUUGGGGUGAAGUCGUAACAAGGUAGCCGUAUCGGAAGGUGCGGCUGGAUCACCUCCUUU